rnacentral:rRNA from 1 species
ACCGAAGGAACAAAGGGCGUAC